UUGGGGUAUGUGACUCCUGGUCCAGUUUUCAACAAAAUUACUGCAAAUAAUAGAAAGGGAAGGAGAGUCAAAGACAUGGAACAAAAGAGUUUAGUCUGUAGAAGGAAAAGGAAUACAAGGAUUUUUCUCAGUUUAGGAGCUGAAGAAAGUAGUUGAUCACCAACCAAGAUGGUGAAGUUGGUGAGCAUGUUUUUACAAAUAUACUGUGGAGAGCAUUCUAAAUGGUUGCAUCACCAUCUGGUAUGGAGGGGCCACAGAAAAAGUAAAUCAAGAAAAUAUAUAUAUUCAUUUAUUUCAUCCAUUUCUUCCCAUGUAUUUAUUGAUCAUAUCAUAUCUACAACUUGUCCCCACAGCAACUAUGAUCCCACAUUAGUAAUAUUCCCUUUGCCCUGUCCACCCCUCCCCGGCUUCACAGCAAUUUAAAACUAACUUGUUUUAUGCUUUUUGAGCUCUAAUGCUAUGUCUUCACCCUUAAGUGUUAACUCUGUCUCUCCUUCCAGGGCAGUUGCCUGGUCUGCUGAGUGUUUCCAUUAUUUUGUGUCCUUGUGUGGAGUUUGUAUGUUCUCCCUCUGACAUUGUGGAUUUUGCAUAGGUACUCUAGUUUCCUCAUACAUUCUAAAGAUGUCCCAGUGGAUUAAGUGCUUGUUGCAAAUUGCCUCCAGUGCAGGGGUUCCCAUCCUGGGGUCCAUGGACCCCUUGCUUAAUGAUAUUGGUUCAUGGCUUAAAAAAGGUUGGGGAAACCCUUCUCUAGUGGGUGGGAUGAGAAUGAGGAGGAGAUGAUAGGGAGGGUUACAGGACAGGUGACAGUGGGCUACUGGGAAAUAAAUGAAGGAAUGUGCGUGUUGGGGAUUCUCUGAAAACUGGCAUAGACAGUCAUAGAGAGACAUGGCACAGAAACCGAGUUCAUCCACCACACGUUUGGAACCAAACUGAUCCCAUUUUUUUAAUUCUCUUAUAUUCCCAUCAGUUCUCCCAGAUUGCACCUCUCACCAACACCCUAGGGGUAAUUACAGUGGUCAAUUCACCUACUAACUUGCAUUUCAUUGGGAGGUGGAACGAAACCCAGAAGAAACCUGUAUGGUCACAGAGAAGAAAGGGCAAACUCCACACGAAUUGUGGGUCCCAGUCCAGCACAAUGUCCUGAGGGAAGCCACGGAGGUUAACUAUAUGCUGGAGAACAGGUUCUGCCGUCUCAGCGGCUGACAGAACCUUGGGGAGGGCAAUGAACUGGCUGUCUUGGAGAACUGGUCCACCACUGUCAGGAUCACGAUGGCCCCAUCGGAAGGUCGCAAAACUGUAAUGAAAUCCACCUCUACCACAAAAAGUCUGAAGGGUUCCGAUGGUGGAGAAAGGAAGUGGUAAUGGAGUGUCUCUUGAGUUUCUCAAAAGCGUGGUUCUGCGGCAUCAGGCCAGACCAGAUCCGUGAAGUGGGUGACUGGGUCAGGGAGGUGAGAAGAGCAGCUGUAAUUCCUAACGAAGUGUGGUAGAAGUUAGAGAAGCCCAAGAAGUUCUGUAGGUGUUUGAGGGAGUGAGGUCACGGCCAUCCAGUGAUGGCGCGCGCUUUCUGAGUCCAUGGAUAUGCCUUGGGGUGAAGGAACUUAACCCAGGAAGGAAAUGACUGGGAGGUUGAACUAACAUUUCUCUAACUUGCAGUGCAGUUGGUUGUUGAGGAGACACUGAAGCACUGAUCAGACGUGAUACACGUGGUCUUGGGGGACCUUGGAGAAGAUGAGAACUGUUUGAGGUAGAUGUGUGUAGCAUGUUUUAGAAGAUAUUAUUAAUGAAGGCUUUGAAAAUGGCUGGACUGUUGUAAAGUUCACAAAGAAUCACUAAGUAUUCGCAGUAGCCUGUGGGUGUUAUGAAUCCCGUCUUCCACUCAUCCCCCGGCAGAUAUGGAUCAAGUUGUACACACUCCUUAGGUCCAGUGUGGUGAAGAUCUGGGCCCUGCAGAGUGUCUCGAAUGUGCUGUCAAUCAAGGGGAGAGGGAAGCGGUUCUUAGUGGUGAUUUUGUUGAGUCGACAGUCGCCAAUGCAGGAAGUUAAACCCUCUCAUUCAUUUUGACAGAGCAGAAUCCUGCACCGGCUAGGGACUGAGAAGGGAUAAUGAAUCUAUGCUGUAGCACUUCAGCGAUACAGCCAGUCAUCGUUUGGGUCUCAGGAGGGGAGCAGAAGAACAGAUGGCUUUGGGGAAGGGUGGAAGGAAUUGAUUACUCAGUGGUGUGGUCUGUGAGGCAGCAGAGUGCUGACUUCCCUUUUAGUAAAGGUGCUGACUAAAUUGUGGUACCCCUGUGGGACUUUGGUGAGGUCGAGGGUUUCCUCCAUUUCCAUGGAUUUAUGGGGUGAAGUCAGCUGAGGUUACAGACAGGUAGGUCCCCAACUCAGUGAACUGGAUAACCAGGCAAAGUGGGGCCAUAAAUGGAGAGCCAAGGGUGACCCAAAAUGAGAGGAGUGUUGAGUGAGUAAUUGGAUGGACUCACGAUGACCUUCAAAGCUCACAUGCACAGGUUGUGUGUGCGCUCUGACUGCCUCAGACCCCAGGAGAUGUCAGUCGAUGGCCAGGAUGUUGAAGGGGUGAAAGAUAGGCUUGGCAAGGAGUCCAAGCUGCACACACACAGAGUCCAGCCGGAAUCCACCAGAGCCUCCUGUGCAUGUAGAGCUGACAGAGUGUGGAGGAGGACAGAGACUGAGAUGGAAUGAGGGGCUGGGGACAGUUUUCCAGACUGGAAGGCCCACGAAUCUACCUGGAGGUGCCAUUUCCCAGAUGCAGUGGACAUUUGGCGCUUUGGUGGCAGCUGCUCUGCAGUAGCUGCACUCGCACCCUCAAGGGGAGAGCUCUCCCUAGCUGCAUGGGUGCUGGAGACAUUGGUGAGGAGAGUUCUGUAGCCUGAAAUGGUUCUGGGAAUGGAACCGGGGGAGGGGGGGUCUGACUAUGAUCUGGAGGGUUGUUUCUCAAGAUGCUUGUUGAUACAGAGGGCCAGGAGUAAUGAGGCUUUCAAGGUUGGUGGGCAUCUCCUGGGUGGACAACUCGUCUUUCAAUGCUCUGAGAGUGUGGGCCAGCAGCACUCUGCACUGUGAGGGUCCUGAUUUCGAUGGUGUAAUCCAGCACCAAGUGUGAUCCUUGUUGCAAGCAAAGUAUCAGAUCCACUGCCCUCCUUCCACUUCCCGGGCAGUCGAAAAUCCAGCACACCUCAGCAGCAAAAUCCUCAUAUUCAUUGCAAACAAGGGUUUUAUUGUCCCCCUUACUGGUGAGGUGGUUCGAAUCAGAGCUCCUGCAGUCAAGAGAGAGAUGAGAAAGGUGAUCUUGGCCUGGUCCGUGAUCCUGGUCCUGGUUCUUGCUGAAGACGCACUGGGGUAAGAAGCUGUGGCAUCAGGUUGGGAAUCCAUUGAAGCAUUCGGGCACAGGAAACCGGGGCUCAGAGGGAGGAGGUUGACUGGCACAGACUUGCUGCACUGAGGCAGAAGAGAGUGGCACGCAGAAACAGUUUCCUGCUGUUUCUAGAUGGUGUACUCGUGUCAGUGGGUGAGCAUACGCCGCUGGGUCAAUAGAUGGUUCACCCGCCCUGUCAGGAAACGUAGAGGAGGCUUGGCCCAAAAGCAAAGAGUAGCAAAGAUGAGUUAGCAGUAAAUGAUAGUUUACUAACGGACCACAAAAUAAGAGAGAAUGGAAACUAUACACAACUGUCAAAAAGGUCUUUGCUCAAGGAGAAUAAAGGCUGGGAGCAACUGGUUCAAUGAGUGAAGAAGGCCGGGAACUGGGGUUAAAUAGGCUGCAGGUGACGAGUCUGGAGUGAGCGGCAGGUGAACUGUGUUAGCUGUGGUAACUGAGAGGUGCCCACGGGAGGAGGUUUGAUAUGCAGACGCUGCCUGACCUGCUGAGCUCCUCCAGCAUUUUAAUGUGUUCCGAGGGAUGGGUAAUAAAUGCUGGCCUGGCCCGGCCCAUAACCACCAGACCCUGAAAAUAAACAGAAAUCAGUCACUGAGAGUGCACUAUCCACCUCAUCCUGGUACAGUAGUCAGUGUCCGUGAGGUCAGGCUGUGAGCACCUCUGCCUGGUGCAGAAGGGGAAGGGUUAUCCCACAGCAUGACCAUAGCCUCGCCUACACUCCAGCUGUGAAUCUCCCCUGGAGUAAGUGGGUAGGGAGAGAGGGACGGGAUUGUUGGGAAACAGUGAUUUCUCCAGAUUAACACCAGAUAUUCUGUAACCCCAGGUAUUCGUCCCUUUCACUUGGCAGAGGUGUCAUUGAUUUAAUAUCACGUAUUCAGCUACUCACAUGACUCUGAGGUCCCGUCCUGGGAGGGAGGAUUUUCAUUUAUCCUGUGGCUGCUACGUGCUGGAUCAAUACACAACACAGAAAUUAGAGCUGCUGCAGUGGUUUUAAAAGCUUGCAUUUUUUUCCAGAUAAAUGGCAUAAAAUGACUUGUGACUUUCUUAAAAGCCUCAGCUGAGACGAAGGAAAAAACAUCGUAAAUCUAAUGCACUGAGGUAGCAAUCCCUCAGUACAGGCAACUUCCUGAACUCAUUGGCAGCUUCGCACAUAACAUCGACAGAAUUCAUGGGAUGACCACAUACUCGGUACAGCAGUAUGUGGUAACAGUGUGUCUCAGUGUUUUAAGAUUACACCUCCUUGUCUCCAGUUGGGAACCAGUAAGAAAAGCUUCUUUCUCUAUAUGAUCGUAAUCAUCCCCGCAAAUCUCUCUUCUCCAGUCUUCCAUAGGAAAAAAGAUACAAAAGCCUAAAGCACGUAUCACCUGGCUCGAGGAAGGCUUCUAUCCUACAUAACAGGAAUCGGAUGGCAGAGGGAAAGAAGCAGUUCCUGAAUCACUGAGUGCCUUCGGACUCCUGCACCUCCUCCCUGGUGAUAGCAAUGAGAACAAGGCAUAACCUGGGUAAUGGUGGUCCUUAAUGAUGAAUGCCACCUUUUGGUUUCUUGAAGAUGCCCUGGAUACUACGGAGGCUAGUGCCCAUGAUGGAGCUGACUAAGAUUACAACUCUCUGCAGUUUAUUUCGAUCCUGUGCAGUAGUUUCACCACCCACCCAUCGAAACCAGACAGUAAUAAUGCAGCCGGUUAGAAUGAUCUCCUUGGUUCAUCUGUAGAAAUUUUCAAGUGUCUUCUCAAACUCCUAAUGAAAUAUUGCUGCUGUCGUGCCUUCUUUGUAGCUGCAUCAAGAUGUUGGGCCCAGGAUAGACCCUCAGAGAUACGGACAACCAGGAACUUGGAAUUGCUUACACUUUCCACUUCUGUUCCCUCUAAGGACUGGAGUGCGUUCCCUCAUCUUGCCCUUUCUCAAAUCUGCAAUCAGUUUUUUGGUUUCACUGACGUUGAGUGCAAGGCUGUUGCUGUGAUACCACUCAACUAGCUGAAAUAUCUUGCUUGUCACCAUCUGAAAUUCUGCCAACAUUUGUAUCAUCAACAAACUCAUAGAUGGCAAUUGAGCUGUGCCUAGCUACACAGUAAUAGAUGUAGUGAAAGUAGUGCAGUGGGCUUGGCACACAUCCCUGAGGAGCACCAGUGUGAUUGUCAGCGAGGUGGAGAUGCUAUUUCCGAUCCACACAGAUUGUCAUCUUCCAGUUAGGAAGUCGAGAAUCUAGUUGCAGAAUAAGGUACAGAGGCCCAGGUUCUGGAGCUUUUCAAUCAGAACUGUAGGAAUGAAUGUGUUAAAUGUUGAGCUGUAGUCAAUAAACAACAUUAAGUUAGUUUUACACGUAAAGAAGUGGAGGAAGGAUGGAUAGAACAAAGGUAUAUCUCUCAAAGAGUAUCUCUCAAGCUGCUCUGGGGAUAAUUUAUUUAUGAGGCUAAGGAAAGAAAUAGAAACCAGUGCAGGAGCAGAAGGCUGAAGAGAGAAUCCCACAGAGGAAAAUUUCUUCAAGCCAGGCAUUCCUAUGGAGAAGAGGAAGUGAAUUCAGCUCCAGGAAAAUCAAAACAACUGCAGAUCCUGAAAAUCUGCUGAAGCCCUUGUCUCACCCUCUGAGAAAGAUUCCUCUUGUCCUCUCCAUCCCUAUGACCACCCUCCAUGCAAAUUAAAACUAACACAUUUCUCUCAAUCCCAGUCAUCAACCUGAAAUGUUAACUCUUUUCCUCAAAACUGCUGAGUGUUUCCCACACUUUCUGAUUAUUUUUGUUUCAGGUUUUUGACAUCUGUGGUUUUUGUUUUAAUUUUCAUCAUGUGCUCUAUGUGUCUGAGUACUCAGGGGUCCUAGAGUCAUCAAGCCGUACAGCACAGGAACAGGCUCUCCAUGCUGACCCCUGCUCCAAUCUGCAUUCAUCCCAUUUGCCCACUUUAUGAUUAGUUCCUUCUAAACAUGGAGGCUACCUCAGUAAACAUAUUUAAGACAAGGUUGGAUAUAUUUUUGCAUAGUAGGGGAAUUAAGGAUUAUGGGGAAAAGACAGGUAGGUGGAGAUGAGUCCUUGGUCAGAUCAGCCAUGAUCUUAUUGAAUGGCACAGCAGACUUGACGAGCCAGAUGGCCUACUCCUGCUCCUAUUUCUUAAGCUCUUAUGUUCCUACACCUUACCUAUUCUCUUAAAUGCAGUGAUUGUAUAUGUCUCCACCAACUCCUCUGGCAGCAGAGUCCAGAUAUUAAACACUCGACUCUGUGUGCAAAAAAUUACCUCUCAAUUUCCUUUAAAAUUCCAAUCUCUGAGAGUGUAAUAUACGCAAAAACCUCAAGAAAACAACUUGAGUUAAUGUUUAAUUCACCAAAUCAAGCAAGUAUUUGGUUUACUCACUAAAUACUGACCUUGACAGCAAUGUCCCUUCCUGCAGUUCAUCUUACACAAUUGAAAAUCACUUCAAUCUCUAUGUGCUUUGGCAAGAAAUGGUUCAGUGAAUGUCAAUUUGAUUUGCAUUACUAUAAAUAAAAUUAUUAUUGACAUGCUAUUGAUGUAAAAAUUAUUUUAAAAGAGUUUAUAUAAUCGUACACACAAAUGCUGUUUAAAAAUAAAUUUGAUCAUCCUUUGAGAUUGUUUGUAGUUUUAUUUUUAGUUGUGGAAAAUCCAGCCUGUUAUCAUGACGGCUGUGGGUUGCUUCUCUGCUGCCCAGUUUCCAAGAGGAUCAGAGCAUCAUGUGUGACUGCAGCCAUGGCUGCCCAGCUUGGACGUUUAUCCAGCAAUGUGUUGGAGACUGAUUGGAUGAGAAAAUUGGUGAACAUCCACGUGAUGUUGAGAGAUGGUUUACAGCUCUAGUUCCUCAUUAAUGGGACAAUAGGUGGAGGAAAUACAGAGGUGAUACAGCACAAAAACAGCCUCUUCAAUCCAUGCUAGACUUUAUGCCCAUCCAAACUCUUGGAUUGUGGUGUAGAGUUGUUAUUUUUCAUGUAGUUUGACUGUUUUGUGGUUAUUUGUCAUUUAUAUAAUCGCCUAUAUAUGCAUAUAAUUGUUCAAUGAAUUUUCUUGCCGCUGUAUUUUUUGGAAACUUCUUGGUUUUAGAUGUCACAUUACUUGAAUCUGGAUACCACCAUAAGAUAUAGGAGCAGAAUUAGGCCACUUGGCUGUCGAGUCUGCUCCACCAUUUCAUCAUGGCAGAUCCAUUUUCCCUCUCUGCCCCAAUCUCCUGCCUUCUCCCCGUAUCCCUUCACCUCCAGACUAAUCAAAAAUCUAUCAACCUCUGCCUUAAAUACACCCAAUAACUUGGCCUCCACCACCUGUGGCAAUGAAUUCCACAGAUUCACCACUCUCUGACUAAAGAAGUUCAUCUUCAUCUCCAUUCUAAAUGGAUGCCCCUCUAUUCUGAGGCUGUGCCCUCUGGGUCUUAGAUGAUCUUGACAGGAAUCCGCUUGGCAUCGAGUAUCCUUCAACCUAGUGAACCUACCUGAUGGAAUUUCUGUUAUCAGUGCUGUGCUAUGAAAAGACCACAUGAAUUUUCAUCUUCCUUUCAUUUGAUUCUCAUCCUGCUUUUUUCUUCUCUCUUCUUUGCUCUUGUAACAUUUAAUAAUAUAAUUGUAAGCAUGAAGUUUUAUACCUCAUUCUUGAUUUCCAAAGAAUCCUUGGAUCACGAAAACAUCAGAAUCCAACAACACUAACCCUAUUUGUCCACAUUAUGUCUGUAUCCUUAUAUGCCUUGUUUAUUCAUGUGCCGGUCAAAUUGCCUCUUAAAUGCAGUGACUGUAUCUGACUCCAACACUUCCUCUGUCAGGAUGUUCUAGCUAUCAACUAAUACAUCUUAACAAUCUUCCUCUCAAAUCACUUUUAAAACUCUUCGUCUCUACUUCGUUACCCUCUCCAUUGGAAAUCAUCACAACAAUCUGUCCUAUCUCAUCGUCAUCAUUAUGUGCUGUGUCAUAUGAGGUGGGCGAUCACGGAGACCUGACUAUGAUUGUUCUUGGCAAUUUUAUCUUCAGAAGUGGUUUGCCACUGCCUUCUCCUGGGCCAUGUCUUUACAAGACAGGUGACCCCAAUCAUUAUGAGUACUCUUGAGAAACUGUCUGCCUGGUGUUAGUGGGUGUAUAACCAGGUGCUGUGACAUGCACCAAUAACUCAUAUGACCAUCUACCACCUGCUCCCAUGGCUUCAUGUGACCCUGAUGGGUGGUGGGUGGGGCUAAGCAGGUGAUACAUCUUGCCCAAGGGUGACCUGCAGGCUAGCAGA